rnacentral:misc_RNA from 1 species
GAUGAAGAACGUAGCGAAAUGCGAUACGUAAUGUGAAUUGCAGAAUUCAGUGAAUCAUCGAAUCUUUGAACGCAUAUUGCGCUCUCUGGUAUUCCGCAGAGCAUGCUUGUUUGAGUAUCAGUAAACACCUCAACUUCCAUAUCUUUUUUGAAAUGGGAGUUGGACUUGAGUGAUCCCAACGCUUUUCCUCACCGAAAAGUGGCGGGUUACUUGAAAUGCAGGUGCAGCUGGACUUUUCUCUGAGCUAUAAGCAUAUCUAUUUAGUCUGCCUAAAAAACAGAUUAUUACCUUUGCUGCAGCUAACAUAAAGGAGAUUAGUUCUUGUGCUGACUGAUGCAGGAUUCACAAAGACAGGCUUCGGCCGACUUUGUAAACUCGAUCUCAAAUCAAGUAAGACUACCCGCUGAACUUAAGCAUAUCAAUAAGCGGAGGA